rnacentral:rRNA from 1 species
GCAUAUCAAUAAGCGGAGGAAAAGAAACCAACAGGGAUUGCCCCCAGUAACGGCGAGUGAAGCGGCAACAGCUCAAAUUUGAAAUCUGGCUCCUAGAGCCCGAGUUGUAAUUUGUAGAGGAUGCUUUUGAUGCGGUGCCUUCCGAGUUCCCUGGAACGGGACGCCAUAGAGGGUGAGAGCCCCGUCUGGUCGGAUGCCAAAUCUCUGUAAAGCUCCUUCGACGAGUCGAGUAGUUUGGGAAUGCUGCUCAAAAUGGGAGGUAUAUGUCUUCUAAAGCUAAAUAUUGGCCAGAGACCGAUAGCGCACAAGUAGAGUGAUCGAAAGAUGAAAAGCACUUUGAAAAGAGGGUUAAAUAGUACGUGAAAUUGUUGAAAGGGAAGCGCCUAUGACCAGACUUGGGCCCGGUGAAUCAUCCAGCGUUCUCGCUGGUGCACUUUGCCGGGCACAGGCCAGCAUCAGUUUGUCUUGGGGGAAAAAGGCUUUGGGAACGUGGCUCCUUCGGGAGUGUUAUAGACCAUUGCAUAAUACCCUGGGACGGACUGAGGUUCGCGCAUCUGCAAGGAUGCUGGCGUAAUGGUCAUCAGCGACCCGUCUUGAAACACGGACCAAGGAGUCGUCUUCGUAUGCGAGUGUUCGGGUGUAAAACCCCUACGCGUAAUGAAAGUGAACGCAGGUGAGAGCUUCGGCGCAUCAUCGACCGAUCCUGAUGUUCUCGGAUGGAUUUGAGUAAGAGCAUACGGGGCCGGACCCGAAAGAAGGUGAACUAUUCCUGUAUAGGGUGAAGCCAGAGGAAACUCUGGUGGAGGCUCGCAGCGGUUCUGACGUGCGAAUCGAUCGUCAAAUAUGGGAAUGGGGGCGAAAGACUAAUCGAACCUUCUAGUAGCUGGUUUCCGCGA